GUAGUCGUGGCCGAGUGGUUAAGGCGAUGGACUUGAAAUCCAUUGGGGUCUCACUGCGCAGGUUCGAAUCCUGCCGACUACG
rfam:Danio rerio chromosome 3, GRCz11 reference primary assembly.